rnacentral:rRNA from 1 species
AGCGAUUUGUCUGGUUAAUUCCGUUAACGAACGAGACCGCUGCCUGCUAAAUAGUUCCGUGAGUGAUUUCUCACUGACGAGAGCUUCUUAGAGGGACAUGGGUUAUAAAAAUCCAGGAAGAUAGCGGCAAUAACAGGUCUGUGAUGCCCUUAGAUGUCCUGGGCCGCACGCGCGCUACACUGGCACACGCAACGAGUCUAUCACCUUGGUCGGCAGGCCUGGGUAAUCUGUGAACGUGUGCCGUGAUUGGGAUAGAUUGUUGCAAUUUUCAAUCUUGAACGAGGAAUUCCUAGUAAACGCGAGUCAUCAGCUCGCAUUGAUUACGUCCCUGCCCUUUGUAAACACCGCCCGUCGCACCUACCGAUUGAAUGGUUCGGUGAAACCUCCGGACUGUGGCUCGCAAGCUUAACGGCGAGCGUGCCACGGGAAGUUGGUUAAACCUCACUAUUUAGAGGAAGGUGAAGUCGUAACAAGGUUUCCGUAGGUGAACCUGCGGAAGGAUCAUU